rnacentral:rRNA from 1 species
CCGGACCUGACUGCUAUCGGAUUGGUACUAAGCCAUGCGAGUCGUUGUAGCAAUACAAGGCGGACGGCUCAGUAACACGUAGUCAACCUAACCUAUGGACGUGGAUAACCUCGGGAAACUGAGAAUAAACCGCGAUAGAUCAUAAUGCCUGGAAUGGCUUAUGGUUAAAAUAAUUUAUUGCCGUAGGAUGGGACUGCGGCCUAUCAGCUUGUUGGUGAGGUAAUGGCCCACCAAGGCUAUAACAGGUACGGGCUCUGAGAGGAGAAGCCCGGAGAUGGGUACUGAGACACGGACCCAGGCCCUAUGGGGCGCAGCAGGCGAGAAACCUUAGCAAUGUGCGAAAGCACGACUAGGUUAAUCCGAGUGAUUUCUGUUGAAGAAAUCUUUUGUUAGUCGUAAAACCACAGACGAAUAAGGGGUGGGCAAGUCUGGCGUCAGCCGCCGCGGUAAUACCAGCACCUCGAGUGGUCAGGAGGUUUAUUGGGCCUAAAGCAUCCGUAGCCGGCUAUGCAAGUCUCCGGUUAAAUCCAACUGCUCAACAGAUGGGCUGCCGGAGAUACUACACAGCUAGGGAGCGGGAGAGGUAGACGGUAUUCUGUGGGUAGGGGUAAAAUCCACUGAUCCAUAGAGGACCACCAGUGGCGAAGGCGGUCUACCAGAACGCGUUCGACGGUGAGGGAUGAAAGCUGGGGGAGCAAACCGGAUUAGAUACCCGGGUAGUCCCAGCUGUAAACGAUGCAAACUCGGUGAUGCAUUGACUUAUGGUCAAUGCAGUGCCGCAGGAAGCCGUUAAGUUUGCCGCCUGGGAAGUACGGACGCAAGUCUGAAACUUAAAGGAAUUGGCGGGGGAGCACACAAGGGUGAAGCCUGCGGUUCAAUUGGAUUCAACGC